rnacentral:rRNA from 1 species
AUUGAACGCUGGCGGCAUGCCUUACACAUGCAAGUCGAACGGCAGCACGGGAGCUUGCUCCUGGUGGCGAGUGGCGAACGGGUGAGUAAUACAUCGGAACGUACCCUGAAGUGGGGGAUAACGUAGCGAAAGUUACGCUAAUACCGCAUAUUCUGUGAGCAGGAAAGAGGGGGAUCGCAAGACCUCUUGCUUUAGGAGCGGCCGAUGUCGGAUUAGCUAGUUGGUGAGGUAAAGGCUCACCAAGGCGACGAUCCGUAGCGGGUCUGAGAGGAUGAUCCGCCACACUGGGACUGAGACACGGCCCAGACUCCUACGGGAGGCAGCAGUGGGGAAUUUUGGACAAUGGGCGCAAGCCUGAUCCAGCCAUGCCGCGUGAGUGAAGAAGGCCUCGGGUU